rnacentral:rRNA from 1 species
UCCCGCAAGGGAUGAGUAGAGUGGCAAACGGGUGAGUAACACGUGGGUGACCUGCCUUCGAGUGGGGGAUAACGUCCCGAAAGGGACGCUAAUACCGCAUAACAUCCCGCCUUUUAACAGGUGGACAUCAAAGCUGGGGAUCGCAAGACCUAGCGCUUGAAGAGGGGCCCGCGCCUGAUUAGCUAGUUGGUGGGGUAAUGGCUCACCAAGGCAACGAUCAGUAUCCGGCCUGAGAGGGCGGACGGACACACUGGGACUGAGACACGGCCCAGACUCCUACGGGAGGCAGCAGUGGGGAAUUGUUCGCAAUGGGCGCAAGCCUGACGACGCAACGCCGCGUGGAGGAUGAAGAUCUUCGGG